AGUGAACGCUGGCGGUAGGCCUAACACAUGCAAGUCGAACGGCAGCACAGUAAGAGCUUGCUCUUACGGGUGGCGAGUGGCGGACGGGCGAGGAAUACAUCGGAAUCUACUUUUUCGUGGGGGAUAACGUAGGGAAACUUACGCUAAUACCGCAUACGACCUACGGGUGAAAGCAGGGGAUCUUCGGACCUUGCGCGAUUGAAUGAGCCGAUGUCGGAUUAGCUAGUUGGCGGGUAAAGGCCCACCAAGGCGACGAUCCGUAGCUGGUCUGAGAGGAUGAUCAGCCACACUGGAACUGAGACACGGUCCAGACUCCUACGGGAGGCAGCAGUGGGGAAUAUUGGACAAUGGGCGCAAGCCUGAUCCAGCCAUACCGCGUGGGUGAAGAAGGCCUUCGGGUUGUAAAGCCCUUUUGUUGGGAAAGAAAAGCAGCAGGUUAAUACCCCGCUGUUCUGACGGUACCCAAAGAAUAAGCACCGGCUAACUUCGUG
rnacentral:rRNA from 1 species